rnacentral:lncRNA from 1 species
CAAAAAGGAAGGACGACGUACGGAUCAGCAGAGGCAACAGAGCAGCGGAGGGGCCGUCGAGGGAGAUGUUUGGUCGGGGGCAGGCCGGCAAGGCGACCUGGCGGUGGCAGGGCCAUUCGCGCCUGCCGCGAGCUUAAAAGACGGGGGAAGAGAGAAAGAGAGAGAGAGAGAGAUUCCGGAGGUGGAGAGAUCGUGAGAGCAGCCGAGGGAGAGAGUUUGAGAUCGAGGAGUCCUCCAGCAGUCCGGCCACGCCCGACCCCGUCCGACGACUACCGACCGCGCUCUCGAACCCGUGGCUCCUAUUCCCCGCGCCAACUCUCCGGUAGAUCACGUUUCCUUUCUUUCUUCGAUUUUUCACGGGACGAGCCGUUUUUUGAGGAUCCCGGCUCGGGGGCGUGCGAGGCGACCGGACGUGGUCCGAUCUAUCAAGCUCGCUUCCAUUCGCCGUGGCCGAGCCGGGUCGGGACCCUCGGCCGACCCCCCGUUUGUGCCUUGUUUUGCGCCGUUUUGGGCUUGCCAGACCAGGCUUCUUCGCUGUCCGGUUCCCACGAGCACCGGCCCCGUUCGUCUGUGCGCCGCUAUUUUGGGUCACCGCUUGUUAAUUAUUGCGAGUCCCGCCGUGAGCCCGGGUCGGGUUCCCCCACCGCCCGCCAACCAACUAAUUGAGUUGUCAAAAUUUAGUAUUAUACUCUGCAUUUGUCUGAAUAGCAUUAUUCGACCUGUCGAAGUUAAUUGAAGAUACCUAAACUCAAGUUAGGUAUGUUUCGCGAAAAACAUUCUCAGAAAAUUAGCUAGCGAAAAUGUUUUCUUANNNNNNNNNNNNNNNNNNNNNNNNNNNNNNNNNNNNNNNNNNNNNNNNNNNNNNNNNNNNNNNNNNNNNNNNNNNNNNNNNNNNNNNNNNNNNNNNNNNNNNNNNNNNNNNNNNNNNNNNNNNNNNNNNNNNNNNNNNNNNNNNNNNNNNNNNNNNNNNNNNNNNNNNNNNNNNNNNNNNNNNNNNNNNNNNNNNNNNNNNNNNNNNNNNNNNNNNNNNNNNNNNNNNNNNNNNNNNNNNNNNNNNNNNNNNNNNNNNNNNNNNNNNNNNNNNNNNNNNNNNNNNNNNNNNNNNNNNNNNNNNNNNNNUCCGUUCGGUUUUAUCCUCAACUUUUGAGUUGUCGAAAGGAGCACGUGAACAUGUGUGACGCUGUGUAACCUCUCUUGUGAUUAGCAAGUACGUUUUCGGUCAUAAUUCAUUUCUACCGAGUUUUUUUGGGUUGCUUUGUUUCGGGUCUUGGUAUAUCCCUGCGGUUGUCCUUGGUGUUUGGGGUGUGGCAGCCAACGGGAGCCUCGAGUGAUUAGCGAUGGAGACAAGUGGUUGCUUGGUGGCUGAAAGUCGCUUGCUAUGAAAGAUGAUGGGAUAUAGUCGCGUCGUCGACGACGAGAAGAAUUUAUUCGCGUUAUGGUUUGGAGAGAGUCUCGGUUGUGGAUGUGUGGGGGCUCUCCUCUUAGUUUUUACUGAGCAAGAGCAGCUCGAUGACUAGAGGAAGCCGUUGUUGGUGGCCCCAUAGCUUGAUUGUUGAGUACGUAUGCAUGCUUACUGUCUUGAUGGUUUGGUGUGUAGAGCUUUGUUCGUUGAUGUUCUGGUUUAGUGAGCUUUAGCCAUGGUGGAUUCGUGUUCUGUUGGCUUGGAAGGAGGUAUCAUGGGGAAGACGACUCGCGCUAGGUGAAGUAGACGACAAUGAGGGCUUAAGUUGCGUUUGUCGAAUCUGAGCUAAUUCAAUAAUUGAGUAAUUUUGGGCUUGAGUGGUUUUAGUAGAUUCGGGCUGCCUUCAUUUUUGGAAGUUCUUGGGCUGAGUUCUUUGCAGUAAGAUGGGCUUAGUGCACUCAGUUACAAAGGAAUGGGCUUGGUGUAUCUUUAGUGGAAGAGUGGGCUUACUUGGGGGUUUUUCCCGAAUUGGGCUUAGAAAGGGUAGAAUUGGGAUGGGCUUGACGAUAAGAUCAAUUGUGCCCUCUAGUCUAAACCGUAAGUCCAAGUUCAUCCAUGUUCUGCUAGGUCCCUAUUUUCGGACUACUAAUUAAUUGAAUAAAAAAUAUAUAUUUCUAAACAUAAUUUAAAAAUUAAUUAAAAAUUCCGAUUUUUUUUCCCUAAAUUCAGAAAAUGCUUAGAAAUAAUCUUUCAAGGUACCCCUCUCUUAAAGUUAUGAGAAAAUCAUUGAUAAGAAAAUUGUGUUAAAAAAUUAAACAAGCCCUUUUAGCUCUACCAUAAGGUUCCAAUUAUCCUUAAAAUAAAUGCUUUUGAUUGUUGAUUAUGGUUUCCCUUUAGCUUAGUUAGAAAUGGCAGGCUCCUUAUUUGAUAAUGCUAGAUCUUGCUCUCCCAAUGCAAUUUAUCUGAUGUCACUUUAGUUGCUAAUUGUCAUGUUAAUGAUUGCAUGUGGUCACCUUACAUAUUAGUCACAUGUCUAAAAUUAACAUAGACUACCUAAUAGAAAAUCUUUUUGAAUGAAUAAGAUUAGGUACCAAAAUGGUAUUAAUUAUUUAAUUAGUAUAAUCAAGUCCCCAACCAUAAACUCUUUAGUUGUGUAGGAGGUGAGUUACACUUUAAUGUGUCACUUGAUUCUUAGUCAACCUCAAUAGGCUAGUUGGGACUUUUUAUUAGAAAAUUUUAAUGAAUACUUUAAAGUUGUGAGAGGUAUGAAUUGAGGAGAGCCUGCACUAAAUCAUAGGUUUGUUUUUUAGACAAUACCCCUAAAUUUAUUUUCCUCCGUACGAAGGGAUAGGUUGUGACAAGUAAAUAUAGAUCUUACACUCUUCAUCCAUUGGAUGGGUACAUAUACAUAAAUUUAUUUAGUGCUACUCUAGACUGAAAAUUUGAUCAUUGGUAAGCUGCCUCUGUACACAUGGAAGUGGAUAUUACUCGUGUGAAAGUGACCCACCUGACACGUCCAUGUGGUGGAUAUUACUCGUGUGAAAGUGACCCCCUUGUCACGUCCAUGUGCUAGUGCACUCCUUUAUACACAUAGAAGUAGAUAUUACUCGUGUGAAAGUGACCCACCUGGCACGUCCAUGUGCUAGCACAUGCACUCCUACGGCGGGCGCAUGUGAAGAGUUACUUAUCAUUUAAAGCGUGUGCUUUCAGAUGGGAAGGGAUUGAAAAUAACUCAGUUUCCAGGACCCACACCACCCAUAAGUGUUGCCAUUGUUCUGUCUUGUCUUCUUCAUCCGAUGGUCACUCACAAUUAUUGCGGGCAACAGAAAAGGUGAAGUUCGUCCUUUUUGGGUCAAAGAAAAUUUUAUUGAAAUUGUGAACAUGGUCUAAAGAGUCCCAGGCAAGGGGAACUAAACAAAGGAGAGACCGAAGGGCUUGUAGAGGAAUAGAAAGCCAAUUUUGUGGAAUAGAGCCAAUCCGUGGGGUCUUCACAGCUUAGUUUACAAGCCCACAUCAGUAUGAACAAAAAGUGUUAAAAUCUAUAUCUAUAUGUCUAUGCAGAGAGAGAGAUCAUAUUUUAAAGGAAAAUAUCAAUCUAAAUUUAGAUUAUGCCUUUUGGCAAUGUAAAUGGAAUAGUGCAAUAAUUUGAAUUUGAUGAUUAAGAGUUGAAUUAGAUGUAAUAUGUUUGUAGUUACAAAUCUAACAAUUGAAAGAAUAAUUGCACUAGAAGCUUUAAAACUUAUUGCGAAAGUGCAAUUGAAUUAUAAAACUUUCAAUAAGUAUAGUCAAUUCUAAGAGAUUGUUGCUUUUUAGCGUUUCCUCUAUAUUCUUCUCCCCAAAUUUGAGCUUGCUUAAAGGUUAAUUAACUUUGAUUAAUGGAUUCUUGCAGAGUGAUCCAAUGGCAGUUGUGUUCUUGAGGAAAAGAGAUGGGAUGCUUCAAGAACUUGGGAGGAUCAGACGUUAUAUUGAGUAGGUUGGAUCCCCCAUGGAUUGAAAAGAUGCAUUUAGCUCAUCAGUUUGACUGUUCGGCUUUUAGUUAUGGAUUGAAAAGAACUUAUAUGCUACAUACUUUUACUAUGGUUAUAAAUCGACUUAAUUUUUGGUUAUUUCCUGAAGAUGGAAUAUAGAACAAUAGAUGCUCAUCUCUUUUCUUACCUUUGAUGUUGGACGAUCUUAUGUUUGGUAGGAAUUCGAAUGUGAUUUGGCAAUUUAGUAACAAUGACUUGCAAUUACCCUUGCCAUCAGGCUUAUUGGGGAAGUAUAUACUAGUUCAUUCAAAUUACUUGGGUUUACAUUUACCUUUUAUCUAUCCAAUUUGAGAAAGAAGAAAUGUCAAUGGUAUCUCUGAUCGGGAGGUUUCCUUACUGACGUCAAAGCUGAUGGACCAAGAGACUCCAGGAGAAGGUAAUUGUGCGCAGUCUAAAGCCUUUAGCUUCCGUUAACUCUUAUGACUAAAAACGAUAUAUGUUCAUUUCUCUUAACACAAUUGUUAGUGAAAUCUUGAAUUAGCUAAUUAAUGUGAUACAUUUACGGAAUUUUUAUGACAUUAUGAGGAGUGGUGGUUGAUAACUCCUGAUUAUUUAGCAUGUCAUCAUGCCAUCCAAUUUUGAUUGGUGCACAUGAUCUACUCUUUUUGAUUGACCAUGACCUCCUUUUGAAAAUUAGGGUAUUACAAUUGCUUCGUUCAUUUUCACUCCAAAUACCCAAUGUGAGGCUUUCUUUAUGUCUCGCUUCACAUGUGCACUAAAUAUACUCCUCUCACAAGUGAGUCUAUCGAACCAAGGCCAAAGGUUGCCAUUUGAUACAUGAUCUUCUCUUUUGCUUGACAGAUAUGUUCUCUUGAAACAAGUGUGUGGUUAACUUUACUGGUGUUCCGUUUGACUAUUCUUGCUUUGUUUCGAUUUGUUCUGUCAUGAACACUGUGUACUUAUGUAUCCUUUUGAGUAAUGAAUACAAUUUUCUUUUGAAUUAAAAUAAAAAGAAGUCAUGUUGUGAUAAAUCACGAAGAUGAGCCAUGUUGUAAUAAAUGUUUUAAGAUGAGUCACGAUGUUGUAAUAAGUGUUAGAGUCCUUGUGUUGUAUUAAUUGUAAGUCAUAGGCGUGAAUCGCAUGUUUACAAAACGCACUAGUUUUUGUUUGUCUUUCAAUUUCAUUGAUAGCCGAAGAGCCUGACUCUAUGGGGGGCGCUAGUACUUGACUAAUAGAAUAUCAAGUCAAAGGGCCUGAAAAAUGUAAUAGGCUGCUACCAUAGGCUCGCUUUGCUUCUUCAAGCUCUGCUCCUUAUUGAAGACUAAAGUGGCAUUAAUAUGCUUGCGUUACCAAUGAUGCAUAUUGCUUAUCUUUUCUUUCCCUUAUGCAUAAAAAGGCAGACUAGCCUUAAGCAAUCAUGCGUUUGUGUGCUUAAACAGUUUUCCCUUUUUCUCUUCAAAUUUCCAUUACAUAUUAUAAAUCUUAGAGUAAUAAGAUAGAAUAUAUCUUGAUGGCAUGCUCUACGCUCGCCUUCAUGAAGAUUUUGUGCAUAAGAAAUUGAGCAUAAAGCCUUAUGUUCGAAGUGAGGGAAAUAGAUGGAUGUUAAAAAUUGAGCCCAACAUUUUUACAUACCCCUUUUAUGGUGGCAACUCCUAAAUGAAUUAAAUUGCAUGUUUAAUUAAUUAAAUCAAAAUCUUAAAGUUGCCAUUGGUAUGACCUUGUGAUAGUCUAUGCUAAAUGUUCCUUAGUGAUUCAUUAGUUUUCUUUUGAUGGUUCACAUCUGAAAAUGUCACGAUAAAUCUGAAGAUCCAGUUCUUGAUAGACCAUGGAGCUACCGAAAUUUAACAAACCCUUCAUCACAAUUUUCUUUUCCUCCAACACAGUUACUUGUUGCAUCAAAUCUCCAAUGUUGGAUACUAGAAUAGACGAUCUGUCACUAUAAAUUAUUCGAGUUUCACAGAGACAUGCCCAGAAGCUUGCAUCUUAUUGUCCUAUGAGAAGAAUGCUAACGACAACGAAACGAAAUGCUUGCACUGUCCAAUUUAAGGGAGAUUUCCGCGUUUGCCGGGAGAGUGCUUUCUGCGUCCUCAGGACCACGACGAAAGUAGAAAAGGACACCACAGAUUACCGCGGCAACGACAACUAUGCCGACGAUGACCCAUCCCGGAGUAUCCCACCACGAAACGUUCUCAUCGUCGGAAGAGACGGAAUUCGGGACAAAUGAAGAGGGGAAGCACGGGCAACCUGAACAAUUUUCUGGACAGUUAUAGUGCUCCAUCAAGAAAGUCCUGCGUAGUUAAAUGCAAGCGAUGAGUUCACAAACAUAUUUCGAAGCAUCAAUUCACACAAGAAAAGUAGUUGUUCAAAAGGAGGGUGCUUUAGUAGAAAAGAAACACUAUUUUGAUCACAUAAACCCAGAAGAUUAUAUGACGCGAGCGUGAGAACGAGAUGAUUGAAAAUGGAAUGAAGUAGGAUAUAGUAUAAACCAAAGAGUUGAAGGAGGUGCUUGCGUGUACCUCAUCAAGAAGAACCGAGGUGUGUGGUGUUAUUGGUAUUAUUCUUAUACUACCAGCAAAGAAGUGCGAAUUUUCAUUAGGUGGCCUCUCAUUAUAAUGGCUCUCUUCUGUCCUCCAUUAUUGGUGGCGGCUUUUGGUAUGGAAAACUGGUUGACGUUGACAUUACGCUGGUCAUUUUACAUGACAUCACCAGCGUUGAAGUGGAUAAUUUUUAUUUGUGAUUUCGGUGUCCAAGUUACUAUGCAAAUAUGGAAUAUAGGUUGAUUCAAGCACAAAAGCUUUAGUUCAUGUCCAUUUCGACACUUAGUUAAUUUUCUUAGUUUUCCUUUUUGUGUCUUAAAAUAUUAAAAAAAAUUAAAGGUAUUUUUAGGGGUGCAUUUUAGGCACCACGCACGCUCACAAAUAGAUUUGUUUUCUUAAUAUCGCACUGCAAUUUAUAUUGCAUUUCGAGCAUGCAUCCAGAUUGAAGCAGGCCUAAACGGUUCACAAGAUAGACUCACGUAUAACUGUAUACGCAACACCAGGUAUGUCAUACAUUCACUUUCUAUUUGAGCAUCAGGCAUCUCUUGGAGAGUUUAUAUCGAAUUUACAUUCAUAGCUCACGGGCCUUUGUCCGGGGCCUUAAUAACCAGGUUUUGCUUAAUUUUGCCCAAUACCCCUCGUGUCCUUUAUUUUUCUUGUCAUUCAUUUCUUUUAUUAGCUUUCUAUUGUAAUUGCUUGCUUGUUUAUUUUUGUUACUCGAGUGACUAUGCAUAAUCACUUUUUAUAUGUUUAGAGGAUUUAAGGAAUAAAAAUUGGUGAAGUUCGCAUGUAAAUUGGUUUCAUACUUAAAGAUCUGAUGCAACUGAAUCGAUUGGUUGAAUCUUUAGUUCAUAGGAGUGAAAUGUACUCCCGCAUCCUACUUGGAUUGCUAAUUUAUUUAUCAUAUAUUAUUGGCGUUUCCAAAACAAUUGCACAAUUGGAUUGAAAAUUCAAAUUACAAUUCAUAAGACUUAGAAGUGCCCAUGCUAAGUAUAGACGAUCUAUCAUUAUGCAUCAUUCAAUUACCACGUAUGGUAAAUUAUUUAUCUGAUGACAACAACACGGAUGAAAUGGACAGCACGGCAGCGAUGGCGUAUAACAUGGACAGCACAGCGGUGGCGCCUCCGCCUUCUUCAGCUCUGCCUCUGCCUUUUUCGGCUCUGCCUCCGCCUCCUUCGCUUCCACCUUUUUCAGCUCUGCCUCCGCCUCCUUUG